GAUGAAGAACGUAGCGAAAUGCGAUAAGUAAUGUGAAUUGCAGAAUUCAGUGAAUCAUCGAAUCUUUGAACGCACAUUGCGCCCCCUGGCAUUCCGGGGGGCAUGCCUGUUCGAGCGUCAUUACAACCCUCAAGCUCUGCUUGGUAUUGGGCUCUGCCGGUCCCGGCAGGCCUUAAAAUCAGUGGCGGCGCCACUCGGCUUCAAGCGUAGUAAUUCUUCUCGCUUUGGAGACCCGGGUGCGUGCUAGCCAGCAACCCCCAACUUUCUCAGGUUGACCUCGGAUCAGGUAGGGAUACCCGCUGAACUUAAGCAUAUCAAUAAGCGGAGGA
rnacentral:misc_RNA from 1 species